UACGAAGGGGGCUAGCGUUGCUCGGAAUGACUGGGCGUAAAGGGCGCGUAGGCGGCUCAUACAGUCAGAUGUGAAAUUCCUGGGCUUAACCUGGGGGCUGCAUUUGAUACGUGUGGGCUUGAGUGGGGAAGAGGGUCGUGGAAUUCCCGGUGUAGCGGUGAAAUGCGUAGAUAUCGGGAGGAACAUCAGUGGCGAAGGCGGCUGCCUGGCCCAAUACUGACACUCAGGUGCGACAGCGUGGGGAGCAAACAGG
rnacentral:rRNA from 1 species